CUCCUCUCAGAUGACACCUGCAGCCAGGCUCUGCUGACCUUGAACCUCAAGCCUUGUGCUUCCACUUUCGCAUUCAUUUGUUUCUUAGCCUAAACUUGACACUUCCUCUUAGCAAUAUGCAAAUUUGAGGCUGUCACAGCAGAGCAUCUGGAAAGUCGCAGCAGCAGUCCCUGGACGGUGUGUCUUCUUGCCCUUUGACCUUCAUCAUGCAUGCUAUGAGGCAGCACAAAAGCUCUCAUCAGAAGCCAGGGAUAUGCUCUCGAACUUCUCAGUCUGCAGAACUGUGAGCUAAACAAACAUCUUUUCUUUACACCUUACCCAAUCUCAGGUAUUCUGUUAUAGCAACACAAAAUAGACUAAGGUGGAAAAUUGGUACUGAGCAGUGGGGAGUUGUUAUAAAAGUAUCCAGUGGA
rnacentral:lncRNA from 1 species